AGAGUUUGAUCAUGGCUCAGGAUGAACGCUAGCGGCAGGCCUAAUACAUGCAAGUCGAACGGUAACGGCCGUUUCGGGGGUACACGAGUGGCGGACGGGUGCGUAACGCGUAUGCAACAUACCUUCAAGCGGGGGAUAUGCCAGGGAAACUUGGUGCAACACCCCAUAGCAUUUCGGGACCGCAUGGUCUUGGGAUUAAUAUUUAUAGCUUGGAGAUUGGCAUGCGUGACAUUAGCUAGUUGGCGGGGUAACGGCCCACCAAGGCGACGAUGUCUAGCUGGUCUGAGAGGAUGAUCAGCCACACUGGGACUGAGACACGGCCCAGACUCCUACGGGAGGCAGCAGUAGGGAAUAUUGGACAAUGGGGGAACCCUGAUCCAGCCAUGCCGCGUGAGGGAAGAAGGUCCUCUGGAUUGUAAACCUCUUUUGGCGGGGGACAAACCUGCACUAUACGUGCAGCUGAGGGUACCCGCAGAAUAAGCACCGGCUAACUCCGUG
rnacentral:rRNA from 1 species